rnacentral:misc_RNA from 1 species
UCUUCAAAUACCAACCCCCAAUCUAAAUCCCAACUACUGCCAAUGGCGUCGGAGACGCUUUCCGCCUCUGGUCGGAGCUCCGACAAGCUGAACCUACCUGCUCUCCAAUCCAAAAUGAAAAUGGACCCGGAAGGUUAUGAGACCGAGCUUGGUGUCCUCUACAUUCAAUUCAACUCGGCUCUUGAGCUAUUUCAACAGCAAGCAGCUCUCAAUUUCACAUCUAUCUUCUCGUCUGGCGUCUGCGCCGACCCCAUCAUUGUCAAGGAUCUCGGGGAUCGAGCUAUGUUUUUGGCUCAUGUGACUCCUUUUUACCCCAAACAAUUGGCCAAGUUCCCGAGUCAACUCGCCGAGUUUCUCAAAACCUCUGCACGUUCGCUGCCCUCGGGGCUGAGGUGUCAUGUUACUCAAGCUCUUAUUCUCUUAAUUAAUCGAAAGAUGGUUGAUAUCAGUGAAACUCUUGCAUUGUUUAUGGAGCUUCAAACUCUGGGAGAUAGAAAUUUAAGAAAAUUGGCAUUCUCUCAUGUUGUUCAUAGCAUCAGGCGCAUGAAUAAGAAGCACAAAAAUGAGGC